CCUACGGGUGGCAGCAGUGGGGAAUAUUGCACAAUGGGCGCAAGCCUGAUGCAGCCAUGCCGCGUGUGUGAAGAAGGCCUUCGGGUUGUAAAGCACUUUCAGCGGGGAGGAAGGCGUUAAGGUUAAUAACCUUGGCGAUUGACGUUACCCGCAGAAGAAGCACCGGCUAACUCCGUGCCAGCAGCCGCGGUAAUACGGAGGGUGCAAGCGUUAAUCGGAAUUACUGGGCGUAAAGCGCACGCAGGCGGUCUGUCAAGUCGGAUGUGAAAUCCCCGGGCUCAACCUGGGAACUGCAUUCGAAACUGGCAGGCUGGAGUCUUGUAGAGGGGGGUAGAAUUCCAGGUGUAGCGGUGAAAUGCGUAGAGAUCUGGAGGAAUACCGGUGGCGAAGGCGGCCCCCUGGACAAAGACUGACGCUCAGGUGCGAAAGCGUGGGGAGCAAACAGGAUUAGAUACCCGAGUAGUC
rnacentral:rRNA from 1 species